rnacentral:tRNA from 1 species
GGAAAGGUGGCUGAGUGGUCAAAAGCGGCGGACUGUAAAUCCGUUCCUAUUAGGUUCGAUGGUUCGAAUCCAUCCCUUUCCA